rnacentral:tRNA from 2 species
GCAUCUGUAGCCUAGUUGGUAAAGGAAGCACUCUUGUAUGUGACUCAGCAUUGCUGAGGUUGUGAGUUCAAAUCUCACCAGACACA